rnacentral:lncRNA from 1 species
UGGUUCAGUUGUCAACGACAACCUACAUCCAGUCCUGACAAUCCAACUGGAUUUCAGCUUUUUCUCCAAUAGAAAGAAUUGUGACUUGUUUAUAGAUUGUCCAGUUUCCUCGAAACCUAUCUAUCUAACACAAUCUCUUUCCUAUUGCUUAACCCCUUGAUCCUUGCAGUCACUCGGCAGACUCACACAAAAUCAAGUCAAGCUCCUUCUUGAUGAGGCCUCUCACCCAAGAAGAUCGCCACCAGUUUCUAGCUGGAUUUUUCGCAGUCUUUUCUUUACAAAG